UUUACCCGCCAAACCUUGACACUCCUUUCCUUACCGUAAUCUCGCACCUCUGUUUCCGUUCAAACAUCUUUCUGGUUUCUAGACUGAAUGCCUGCUCCAAAAAAUACAUUAAAUAUCGCCAACAAAUUGGAAUUAAGGAUCAAUUGUCUUUUUAAUUAUGAACAAGAAUUUUUCAUGGUUGUUACUUCAGCUGAAUUACUAAACGCUGGCCUGAUGAUGGUUCCACUGUAAACCGAAAUCGAUCGCCGAAGUAUAAAUAUAUAAAUCAUAUAGUGUGUUUUUCCACCCAUCCUUUAAAUACCAUACACACUGAUGGAAGAAUUUAUUAGUAAAAUUUCAAAU